GGGACAAUUAGUAAGAAAAUAGUUGUAAUCUGUAGGCAAGACCUGAGGAAUAUCACUGUAAAGGAUUGAGAGAAGUUGAACAUGAACAAAAUGAAGAUUGUUUAAAUGUUCACAUUUUGACACCUGAAAAACCUUGUCACAACAUUCCAUUCUUUAUAGAUGUGAUUAUCUAUGCAAUGCUACUAUGACAUAGUGGUGACUAUAAGAUACUGAGAAUGUAGAUAGUUGAAUGUGUUUCUUCUUCCAUUCCCAUUUGUGGGAGAGAAGGUUGGCCUUACAUCUCUUCUUGUUCUAUUGUCAGAACGCUGCCUGGGACCUUCUCCAAUUUCUUGAAGAUAAUACACUAUGUCAAAAGCGUACUUCAUUAAAUCUAGAACUUAUUUUUGGAAAGGUAGCAUGUCUUUAAAAAUCUGUUUCUAUUUUGAAGAUGUAAGCUGAAAAACUGCAAGAUGGAUAAUGAUAGCAUUCAGGAAACACUCCAGGGAGUAGAAAAAGACAUGUUGGUAAUACUGCCUCAUUCCUACUCCUGGCCUUAAAUUACAUUUUGAACAAUUUAUUGAAAGCUUAUUGCUGAGAUUUUCUUUAGUCCUCUGCAUGUUUAUCAUCUUUUAAACAUUCUCUUUUAACAUUUUAAAGAGAAA
rnacentral:lncRNA from 12 species